UUCCAACGGGUCUUUCUCCAGCCCGCCGAAGUGGGGGAGGGGCGCAGCGGCCGUCCUUCCUUCUGGAAACGGUCUGGGGCUCGGGAUCCGGCUGAGGCGCCCUCCUCCGGCCCUGGCCCUCCGGGCAAGUUGGGCGCGGCCCUCCUCUGCCUCCCUACACCUCUCCUCGCCUCGCUGCUCUCGCCCUUCCCGCAGCAGCUGGAGUUGAGCGGCCCCGGGGUGGCGGACCAGGAGCACGGGUUUCCGAGGAGAUGGAGAAAGCGGAAGCCUUGGCCGGGGACGCUGCUCAGCUCACGGCGCCUGCCGGCCAGCGCAAACUCAUAAAUUCGAUCCCCGGAAUGGAACUCAAGACCAUGUGCUUGUAAAGCAGGCCCUUAUGCAGCUGAGCUAAAUCCCUGAUUGCAGUCUGGAUUAGAAAAUCAACUGAAGGCCAGCCUGAGCAGCAUAGCAAGACCCUGUGUCGAAAAAGACCAAAAAAAAAUUGAUGCAUCUUCUCAGGAGAGUGUUCUCGGCUUGAGCUGUGGAACCAUUAAUGAAUGUUUGAUGAGAAAUGGGUUGUGCACCGGGGCCCCUGAAAUCCAAAGAGCUCUGCAUUCAGCAGCACAUAAAAUGCUGUGAUUUUGCUGUGAGUGAAUAACCUGAGUGAUAGCUGCUGCCAGGGCAGCCCCCGCACAGAGGAGGGGCCAGUGUCUUCACGGAUUGGAAUCAUCUCAGCCAGUGUACCCCAUUUUUUGUGGGCUCUUAAAGCCUUAAACACCAUUUAUUUGUAUUUUCAAAGGCCAACUAUUGACAAAUUAAAGCGCCUGCCUUGCAAGCCGGCGGUCGUCAGUACUGAUAAAAAUGAAAAAGACAAAAAUAAAUAAAUAAAUAAAUAAAUAAAAUCAUGCAGAGGGAAGUCCUUUGUGGUCCUCCCAACACACUCACAACCAUUAAUGUGCUCCCUGAUGCAAGUCCAAAAAAAUAAAUACAGUAGUCAGAACUACAACAAGCAA